rnacentral:tRNA from 1 species
AAAAUGGUAAGCUAAGUUAAGCUAAUGGGUUCAUACCUCAUCUAUAAAGAUUAUCUUUUCAUUUUA